rnacentral:tRNA from 1 species
GGAGACGAGCGAUAUGAGCCGUCAGGCUCUAGAAGACCGAAGGUCAGAGCGAAGUUUCGCAGAUUCCUAAUCUGGGGGUCGCGCGUUCGAAUCGCGCCGGGAUCACCA